rnacentral:rRNA from 1 species
ACGAACGCUGGCGGCGUGCCUAAUACAUGCAAGUUGAGCGAUGAAGAUUGGUGCUUGCACCAAUUUGAAGAGCAGCGAACGGGUGAGUAACGCGUGGGGAAUCUGCCUUUGAGCGGGGGACUACAUUUGGAAACGAAUGCUAAUACCGCAUAAUAACUUUAAACAUAAGUUUUAAGUUUGAAAGAUGCAAUUGCAUCACUCAAAGAUGAUCCCGCGUUGUAUUAGCUAGUUGGUGAGGUAAAGGCUCACCAAGGCGAUGAUACAUAGCCGACCUGAGAGGGUGAUCGGCCACAUUGGGACUGAGACACGGCCCAAACUCCUACGGGAGGCAGCAGUAGGGAAUCUUCGGCAAUGGACGAAAGUCUGACCGAGCAACGCCGCGUGAGUGAAGAAGGUUUUCGGAUCGUAAAACUCUGUUGGUAGAGAAGAACGUUGGUGAGAGUGGAAAGCUCAUCAAGUGACGGUAACUACCCAGAAAGGGACGGCUAACUACGUG